UCCUCGAGGGAUAGCUGUGCCGGAGUGUCAACAAGGACAACAACAACCCUGGAGAGUUAGGCCCCAUUCCCACCUGGGUCUUCCUGCCCCGAGUCCCAAGCGAUGCCCUUUAUGCAGUUCAUGUUGCUUUUUAGUCGUCAGGGGAAGUUAAGACUUCAGAAGUGGUAUGUCCCAUUGUCUGACAAAGAAAAGAAGAAAAUAACAAGAGAACUUGUUCAAACAGUCUUAGCCCGUAAACCGAAAAUGUGCAGCUUUCUGGAAUGGAGAGACCUGAAGAUUGUCUACAAAAGAUAUGCAAGCCUCUACUUCUGUUGUGCCAUUGAAGAUCAGGAUAAUGAGCUAAUAACACUGGAAAUAAUUCAUCGUUAUGUAGAAUUGCUUGACAAAUAUUUUGGAAGUGUAUGUGAACUUGAUAUUAUCUUCAAUUUUGAAAAGGCUUAUUUCAUUUUGGAUGAAUUUCUCUUGGGAGGAGAAGUUCAGGAAACUUCAAAGAAAAAUGUUCUUAAAGCUAUUGAACAGGCAGAUCUAUUACAGGAGCCACGUCAUGAAUACUUUAAUGUCCCAGUGUACUAAAUGACUUCAUUCAUCAUGCAUAAGAGAAGCAAUAAAGCUGACUUACUCAUGGCAGAACACUUAUCCUCAGCUUGGUGAAUCCAAUCAUCUUGAACAAAUUAGUGUAUAUCACACUGUUAUUUUUUGCUGUUUGUAUAUUUUCCUGUCUUACCAUUUGCAGUGUCUGUGUUUUUCCUUUCAUUUGUCUUGUCUUGUCAACAUGCCAUCAUUUUCAUUUUAAAAUAUUUAAAUCUUUAAUUAGCACUUGAUAUAGCAUGUAAUAUUCAAGCUGAAAUACUAUGUGGAGCUUAGUUUUACAAUUUAAAUACUGAAACCUCAUGGUACAGUAUUCUGUCAAACUGGAUAUAAAUGUGAUAUUUGUAUUUGCAAAAUAGAUACGCACUGACCUUUUCUUAGGUGCAUUAAACAAAAAGUGUUUUAAACAGAUGGCUUAUAGACAGAACAUAAUUUAAAAACCUUGAAAAUUACUUUUUUAUUUUAAAAAAGCAUAUUUUAGAAAGUAGCAUUUUGUACUUGAUGUUUAUAUAAGAAUUUAAAAUUUAAAUAUUCUGAUCUUGCAUUAUUAAGAGCUUCAGUAUUUAUGGUACCCUCUAGUGUUUGAAAGGGCUUUUCCAUUCACUGCAAUGUUGGAGUUGUUUUCCAGGCCUACUAAUAGACCCAAUCAUUGCAGGUAAAUGGAGACAUCCACGGAAAUGAAUAUAUCUUAAGUAAAAAAUACAAUUCUAGAAUUUCUGUGCUGAAAUAUGAACCGCCCAAAAAUUAACAGUGGAAAAAAGGGUUAUUCUGCUUGUUUUGUGUAGGGAAAUUAUUAAUUUAUGCAGAGGCUAUGUUUCUCAAAAAUAUAAUAUAAUAUAAUAUAAUAUAAAUAAACUUUAUUUAUAACCUGCCCUAUCUCCCCAAGGGGACUCUAGUCAAUUUUCCAAACUAGUGGCAAACACUCAAUGCCAUAAUAAUGAAACCAACCAAAUCGAGACAAUACAUAAAACAACUUCAAUAAAAACUUAUAAUAACUAGCCAAAAAUAAGUAAAAAUAAGUUAUUAAAUAAAACAUAAUAAAUCUAAUCAAACGCAUUUACACCAUAAUAAAAUCUAAACAACUAAAUUGCAUAAAAUAUAAAAUAAUUUAUAGUAGCCUUAACUAUUUUAAGUUAUAAAAUAAUAGGGAAUAAGGGUUAGCUCAAUCAAUCAUAUGCAAUAUAAAAUUCCAGUUUAAUUGGUAUUGGGUGAUACCAAGAUAUAUAUCAAAAUACUUUCAACAGUGAGGCAUUUAACAUAUUGAUUCUACAACAUUUCUAGAUAUAUGGCAAAUAAAUUAUAGAAAAUUUCUGCCUUAUCAUUUUGGUUUUUUUGGUUUUUUUUUUAAAAAAUGGUAUUGCUUCUGUGAAUGUAUUUGGUUGUGCUGCAUUGCAUACCCUUAAUCUACGAAGUGCUAUGCAUGGAAUGCUAAUGAGCUGUUGUGGCCUGUUACAGUUUUAUAUUCUUGCAUGCUUGCAAAUUAUUGUGAAUUAGCUUUCCUGGCAUGUCUUUAAUAAAGUAUUGCAUGCACUUCUCAUGUGAAUGCCUUUUUUUUCCUCCCAUCUCUUCUGUGUUGAUAUAUUUCCUGUUUGUGCGGUUCGCUAUUGGUAAUUUUGCUCAGGAGAAUAAAUCUGUGAAACACUUGACUACACUGUACAAAUUAUUCCUAAAUCAUUUCCUGCGUUACACAUUUCCAAACUCACAUUUGUAUGUACACUUGGCAGUUGCUACGAAUGUAUAUUUUAUACAUCUAUAUAUGUAUGAGACUCAAUGCUUUUGUAGAAUGUUGUUUGCUCAUAGUGUAUAUUUAUUACAAACUGAAACACUAUCAGAUAUCUAGAAGUAGACAAAAUUAAUAACCACUUAUCUAUUAGUUAUAUAGUGUAUCUACAUUAUUUGUUUUUUAGGAUUAGCCUCCUUGUGAAUAGAGGGCAACUUUUGUGGUGCCAGGGGCCACUUUUCUGUUGGACAAGUGUUAAACUGCAGCAAACUUUAGCCAUUCUUCCACACAAACAACUCCUUUUACUGGAAAGGGACUCAGAAAGGUGCAACAUUUAGGUACAUUUUUAAACGGGGUGGGGGGAAAUAAAAUGGUAGAAAUAGUCUAUUUAUAUUAUAUACUGUACAUUGCAGUUCAGUUAUUAACAAAUAAAAACCACAAUUUUCAAUAGAUUAUUACUUUGGAAAUGUAUUUGUUUCCUAAAAGUAAGUCCUCCGUGCAUUAUUUGUAAAAUCCCUCCCGUUCGAACUUUAUUAAGUGUUACUAAAUUAUAUAAAUGAAUGGUAAAUAUAUCCAUUUUGACUUUCAUGGAAUACUUCAGAAACAUGGCAUUUUCCCCAUAUCCACAAACUAGUCUUUUAUUUUUCUUCUGUGGUUUGCUGCUGAAUUUUGGCACAGUUUUUCAAAUUUAAUUUUCCUUUAGGGUGCUGGUCUGUCACAUGAAGCGUGGAAAAUGUUCUUCUCCCACAGUGCUAGAGAUCCACUUGCACAGAAGGAGCCCUGGGCUUGCUUUAACCUGUUUAACACUGAACUGUUGCAGUGGUUCCACAGGUGGGAAUCUGCUUCUGUCUGGGUGGAUCCAUCAGUGGGUAGCUUACCUCAUAAAUUGCAAGGGUGGUGCUUUUCCUAGUAUAGAUUUUCCUAUUAGUUAACAUCUUUCAGCACAGAUCAGCUAGCUGGAUUAAAUAGUGUGCCAAAGGAAAUGGGAAUUUAUUCACUCCAAUUUAAAUCAGAUAGUGUUGGAAUAACAGGUUGCUCCAGGGGUUACUUUUACUAAUCUGGACAUCCUGGAACUGACUGUGUAGCUUUCUAGUGGCACUGUUUAUCCUUUCACUCAUGAACGUUUAGAAGCUUUAUUUCUAUAAAACAAAACAAAAUCUGAUAAAGAUAGGUUUAAGGUUGUUGACAAUAGACUUAUCAAUAGCGUGGUUUCAGUGACGAGACUGAACAUCACUUGUGUUUUGUAGUGAAGCCAAUGCACUUACUUUAAAUAGAAGAUUUAAAAACAACAUCUGAAAUUUUGUGAACACUUUCUGUUCCUCUGUGGGAACUCUAUAAUUAAAAAUGUAUGUUUAUGUAUAUCGUUAACACUUCCUUUUCUUAGAACGUUAUUGCUAAAUUCUGAUUCUCUCUUUUUUGGCUAUGCCUUAUUUAGGAUGCUAAAGAAGCGGAGACUCCUCGUAGUGUACUUGAAGAAAUUGGACUGACAUAAACCUCGUUUGCUGAUGUCUUACAUGGUGUUUCAUAUACCUGUAAAUGUUCACUGCCUCCAUUUAAUGUUAGCUAAUGGUGUUAUGAUGCUAUUUGUCAGUAUUACUGUUCUGCUGAGCUACUUCAUUCAGACCUACAAGAAAAAUUCAAUUUACUGUCAAGUUGAAAAAGGGAGCAUACUUUUUAGGGAAAAAAUUAAAGGGAUUUAAACUACAAUAAUUUAGAAUGAAUCCAUAAAUUAAAAUGAACAAUACAUGGUAAUUUAUGUGAUAUUUUAUAAACAUUACUGUGCCAUCACGUAAUGUGUCAGGUACCAUACAUUUUGCCAUAUACUAAAACAAGUUACUUAUGGCAAGAAGGUGAAAUUCAGUUAAUAUAGAACUUGGCUUUGUGUAACCAAAGACUCUUAUUAUACAGUCAGACACUCAUACAUUUGUUAAAAUUCAAUUUAGGUUAUUACAUAAGAUUGGGGGAAAAUAACUUUAUGGCUAUUUCAUUUAUACCAAAGAAUCCUGCUAAGGUCUGCAAAGUCAAACUGUUGUGAAUUGCCAUUGUAACUUCAUUUCCAAUAACUGAAUGGUAAAGGAUUUCAUUAGAAAUUCUAAUGAAUGAGAUCACAGUGAGAUUUUAAAUUGAAUCAGAAAAUGGAGUUCAUUCAUUACAAAAGGAAAAAGACUGAGGUCAUAUGAAUUUUUUUAAGCAACAAGCAUUCUUUUUAAUACCAAAUUGAAAUGCUUCCUGAAUUGCAUAUUUGGUUUUUUUUGAAAGUAUAAAGGAGAAUCAAUUCAAAACACAUUAAGCUACUGUGAUAUAAUCUCAAAGGGAAGCAUGUAAAAAUGAUUUUACCAAGCACCUGUCCUUAACUUUUUACCAGUAUAACUAUAUGUUUGAACUAGAACUCAAGCAGUUGCUUGUAGAGUUUGAAAAUAUGUAGUUACACAUCAGUUUUCAUCUCACCUCACAAUGUUAGGUUUCAUUAAAAUGAAUUUCUUUACAUAAUAGAAACAAGCCUUAAAAUGGGAACUUUGUUAAAAUCACUGCCAUGUUUUCACAAGACACAAAAAGGCUGAAAGUGUAUACACAUUUAACUUGGUAGUAAGUCCCAAUAACAGGGCUUGCGUCAAAAUAAAUAUGCAUAGGUUCAGGCUGCAGAGGUAUCACAAAGCCAUACUCUAUUUACUCCGAUGUGUGUUUUUGCUGUUCUAUCCUGUAUCCUACUGCUAAAAAAGCUUCAGUACAGAGCACAUGCUGUGAAAAGCAGUGUAACCCCCCCCCCCUCCACAUGUGUAAUAUCUUGUGUGUGUUCUCACUUGGCUACUUCUCCAAUAAUGUUACUACUUGCUGUGAUUGGUGUGCUUUAAAGCAUCCAAAUGCUUUACUUUAAACAGUACCACAGAUCUGAAGUAAUCAUGUUUGCUUAGGGUACAGAAGGAGUUGGGUUCACCCUGGGGAAACAUGGACUCCUGAAUUUCAGGUGACAUUAUAAUGUGACCUCUUGUGUGACACUGAGGAGACAGAAUUAUUUGGCCUUUUAAAAUGUCAGCUGAAAAGCAACUUUUGUGUAUAUUCAAACCAUGUUUAAAGUUUACACCAUUGCCUUGUAUGUGCUUGGUUGGAAAAGCUUUGACUGUGACAUGCGCAACGUGAACACUGUCUUAGUAUCACACUGGUUUAGUUGUAAUAAAUGUCCAUUUCUACUGCA